GUUGGACCAGGUAUUAUAUUACAGGGUAAUAGUGUACCCUACCACAGGAAAUAAUUAUAGGUCAAUUAGGGGGCACACAGCGUGACCCUAAAGUUUACUAUGUAUGCCUAUGUGAAAUAAAGUGUUCUGAGAAGCUUAAAAUGAAGAAAUAAGACUUCUAAAAUGCUUU